rnacentral:rRNA from 1 species
GACGAACGCUGGCGGCGUGCUUAACACAUGCAAGUCGAACGGAAAGGCCCUGCUUUUGUGGGGUGCUCGAGUGGCGAACGGGUGAGUAACACGUGAGUAACCUGCCCUUGACUUUGGGAUAACUUCAGGAAACUGGGGCUAAUACCGGAUAGGAGCUCCUGCUGCAUGGUGGGGGUUGGAAAGUUUCGGCGGUUGGGGAUGGACUCGCGGCUUAUCAGCUUGUUGGUGGGGUAGUGGCUUACCAAGGCUUUGACGGGUAGCCGGCCUGAGAGGGUGACCGGACACAUUGGGACUGAGAUACGGCCCAGACUACUACGGGAGGCAGCAGUGGGGAAUAUUGCACAAUGGGCGGAAGCCUGAUGCAGCAACGCCGCGUGCGGGAUGACGGCCUUCGGGUUGUAAACCGCUUCCGCCUGUGACGAAGCGUGAGUGACGGUAAUGGGUAAAGAAGCACCGGCUAACUACGUG